GAGAUCCAGAAGCAGAUAAUAGUUUACUUUAAUGUGUGCUCUCCUAGGGUUCUCUCUCGCUGUAGCUCAGUAUUUUCUGCCGAUUCGAUCUUCUUGCUGUUCAUAUCUUCAUUAUUUUGGCCGUGUUCUAUGAUUUUGCUAAGACAUUAGCUUUACAUUUGACUGGUGAUCGAGGACGCACCGGAACAGAAACAGAUGUCGUACCGAGCCCUGGCUCGAUGAAGGAACUCGUAUACGUGAUCGUCGGAAUAGUACUUUUGCAGGCGAAUUAGUGGAGGUCGGGCGUACAUGACAUUUGAGGCAUAAUUAUCACCACUUCCGCAUUGUAGGAUCCCUUGAUCAUUUACUCUACUUUUUUAUUUCCUUGUGAAUUAGUAUUGCUCUGAUAACCUUUGGGAUUUGUAUUGUUAAGUUGAGUUUUGUGUUUUGCGAGUUGGGGAAUGUUGAUUUGGGGAGCAGGGUGGCUCCAGGAGCAUAAGGAUGGGUGAUUUAGAAGUGUGAAUUCUCUUUCUACAGGUUUUGGGUUGUCCAUUUUAGGGGAAGUUCCGCCAAAUUUUUGGUAGAAUUUCUUCUAAGGUGGGCCCCGCAGGGCCACUUCGGAUUUCAGGGUGAAAUUCGGGGCGGGUCUUGUCAGAAACCCUCUGCUUGGUGUCUCAGUUGAUGCAUGAAGUGAGCAACCUCAUUGGCAACCAGAGAGUUGUCAGAGAUGAGACGCCCAGGAACAUAAGCACUUUGUAAAGGGGAAAUAAUGUGUGGCAACCAUAGCUUCAGUCGAUUAGCCACCACUU